GUGGGGAAUCUUCCGCAAUGGACGAAAGUCUGACGGAGCAACGCCGCGUGAGUGAUGAAGGUCUUCGGAUUGUAAAGCUCUGUUAAUCGGGACGAAAGAGCCUAGUGUGAAUAAUGCUAGGAAGUGACGGUACCGGAAUAGAAAGCCACGGCUAACUACGUGCCAGCAGCCGCGGUAAUACGUAGGUGGCAAGCGUUGUCCGGAAUUAUUGGGCGUAAAGCGCGCGCAGGCGGAUCUGCCAGUCUGUCUUAAAAGUUCGGGGCUUAACCCCGUGAUGGGAUGGAAACUACAGAUCUAGAGUAUCGGAGAGGAAAGUGGAAUUCCUAGUGUAGCGGUGAAAUGCGUAGAUAUUAGGAAGAACACCAGUGGCGAAGGCGACUUUCUGGACGAAAACUGACGCUGAGGCGCGAAAGCCAGGGGAGCGAACGGGAUUAGAAACCCUGGUAGUC
rnacentral:rRNA from 1 species